CGUCAGAUAGCUCAGUGGUCUAGAGCAGUCGCCCGGCAACCGAAAGACCCGGGUUCGAUUCCCGGUCUAGCGA
rnacentral:tRNA from 1 species